CAGCCGUAAACAAUGUGCGUUAGGUGUGUCGGUAACCACGUGUUACUGAUGCGCCGAAGAGAAAUCGUGAAACGCACCACCUGGGAAGUACGGUCGCAAGGCUGAAACUUAAAGGAAUUGGCGGGGGGAGGCACCACAACAGGUGGAGCCUGCGGUUUAAUUUGGACUCAACGCCGGACAACUCACCGGGAACGACAGCAAUAUGUAGGCCAGGCUGAAGACCUUGCCUGAAUCGCUGAGAGGAGGUGCAUGGCGUAGACGUCU
rnacentral:rRNA from 1 species